AUUAAAAGUCCCAGUUUCGCCAUGUCCCUCAGCGUACAAAAAGAUCAAAUAUGGACUGGUUUAAGAAAUGGCAAUAUAAGAGUGUAUGAUGCAUGCGAUUUUGGGAAUGUUCUGCUAGCAACAGAGCUUACAUUUGGAUAUCGCUGGAAAGUUUCCAGUUUAAUUUAUACAGCUGGGGCUGUGUAUUCUGGCAAUGCAGAUGGGUGGGUAAAGAUUUAUCUGCCCACAUUUGAUCCUGAUUACAUGACAAAAAUACAUUUAAGAAGAUCUGGAGGUGUAGCAGAUAUGUCACUAACAGGCAAAAGACUGGCGGUCGCAACCGGGGAAGGUUUAGUUGCGGUAUGGGAUCCAUAAUCGUGAUCUACCCACACUGUUUGCCUAGGUCUCUUCAAAUGUAGCUGCUCUGAUUUAUCAAACAGGACCAACAGAAUCGUACAUGCCCAUUAGAAAAAUAUAUUGUUGUACCUUGUAUACAUAUCAAUAAUCAAUUGCUAUAUUUUAAUACAAACAAGUAAUUCUUUUCCAUUGGGUUAGUGUGUAAUGUAAAAGCACUAUUUGGCA